GCCGAGAGAAGGAAGGGCGAGGGGCGGGAGCUAGCGGUGGUCGGGCCAGGGUCUGUGCUGGACAGUGGGAGAAAGGUCCGUGCUGGUUGCUGUGUCCUCGGUGAGCAGAGAGCUCUGACCUUGGCCGCAUGGGCUGCUGAGUGCUGGAACAAUGGGGAUGCGCUUUUAUUUAUUUAGUGACUUUUACAGAUUUAUUCCCCUGUUUCAGGACAGCGUGAAGACUGAAAGUGUAAGAAGAUGUGGAGGGAAACAGAGAAUCUGACAGCAGCAUCGAACGUACAAAUGCACGAAUUUUGCUUGGAUUUAAACUCCGAAGUUGUAAGGAAUUUGGAAUGAGAAGGGACCUUUCAGAAGAAGAAGGAGUUGUUGUUACAGUC